UAACCUACUCCAUACUCUCGCAACCAGCUUCUUCUCUUCUCUCAAGCUCGGAGUCACGUACUCCAUAAGCCUCCUUCUUCUCUCGUGCAAGUCAGCCCCUCCGGCCACCAUCACCGCCCACCAUCACCACCGGCUCAUCUCCUCCAAAAUUCGCAGUGCUGGCCUCCAAACUCUGGCCGUUCUUCUUCACCGGCCUAGCUGCGUCCUCCUCUGCGUCAUCUUCACCGGCGACGAGUGGAUUAAAUUGAAGGAAUGCUAGCACCUUUUCUCCUCAACAACUACCCUACACACACUACCUAGAUGAGGAGACUACCGCAUCUGGUGCUCUAGCAAGAGGAGUUUACUUUACAAAAAUCGGGGUUUUCAAAACUCCAAGGGAGGGGCCCUUUACCAAAAAGGAGUUGGAUGAAGUUCGAGACAAGUGGACUAUUUACUUCAUCGAUUGAGAACUACCCUCAGUGUAAUAAAUAGAGUAUACUUGUAGUUAUUCGUGACUCUUACAUUAUUUUGUUAUUUAUCAAUUUAAUUAAUUACAUUUGAAUUAAUUCGGUAAUAUUAUUGGAAAUUUGAAAUUUAUAUCAUUUUUGAGAA